GACGUACUGCGCGAACGUUAUUCGGAAUUAUUGGGCGUAAAGAGCUCGUAGGCGGUCUGUCGCGUCGGUCGUGAAAACUUGGGGCUUAACCCUGAGCUUGCGGUCGAUACGGGCAUGACUGGAGUUCGGCAGGGGAGACUGGAAUUCCUGGUGUAGCGGUGAAAUGCGCAGAUAUCAGGAGGAACACCGGUGGCGAAGGCGGGUCUCUGGGCCGAUACUGACGCUGAGGAGCGAAAGCGUGGGGAGCGAACGGG
rnacentral:rRNA from 1 species